rnacentral:tRNA from 1 species
UGGCUCAAUGGUUAGAGCGUUUGACUUCUGGUCAACGGGUCGCGCGUUCAAUCCUCGU